GACGAACGCUGGCGGCGCGCCUAACACAUGCAAGUCGAACGAGCGAGAGAGAGCUUGCUUUCUCGAGCGAGUGGCGAACGGGUGAGUAACGCGUGAGGAACCUGUCUCAAAGAGGGGGACAACAGUUGGAAACGACUGCUAAUACCGCAUAAGCCCACGGGUCGGCAUCGACCAGAGGGAAAAGGAGCAAUCCGCUUUGAGAUGGCCUCGCGUCCGAUUAGCUAGUUGGUGAGGUAACGGCCCACCAAGGCGACGAUCGGUAGCCGGACUGAGAGGUUGAACGGCCACAUUGGGACUGAGACACGGCCCAGACUCCUACGGGAGGCAGCAGUGGGGAAUAUUGCACAAUGGGGGAAACCCUGAUGCAGCGACGCCGCGUGGAGGAAGAAGGUCUUCGGAUUGUAAACUCCUGUUGUUG
rnacentral:rRNA from 1 species